UAUGGCUGUCGUCAGCUCGUGUCGUGAGAUGUUGGGUUAAGUCCCGCAACGAGCGCAACCCUUGUCUUCUGUUGCCAUCAGGUUAAGCUGGGCACUCUGAAGAGACUGCCGGUGAUAAACCGGAGGAAGGUGGGGAUGACGUCAAGUCAGCAUGGCCUUUAUGUCUGGGGCUACACACGUGCUACAAUGGCCGACACAAACCGUCGCAAAACCGCAAGGUCGAGCUAAUAGGAGAAAGUCGGUCUCAGUUCGGAUAGCAGGCUGCAACCCGCCUGCUCGAAGUUGGAAUCGCUAGUAAUCGCGGAUCAGCACGCCGCGGUGAAUACGUUCCCGGGCCUUGUACACACCGCCCGUA
rnacentral:rRNA from 1 species